rnacentral:rRNA from 1 species
UAGGGAAUCUUCGGCAAUGGGGGGAACCCUGACCGAGCAACGCCGCGUGAGUGAAGAAGGUUUUCGGAUCGUAAAGCUCUGUUGUUAAGGAAGAACGAGUGUGAGAAUGGAAAGUUCAUACUGUGACGGUACUUAACCAGAAAGGGACGGCUAACUACGUGCCAGCAGCCGCGGUAAUACGUAGGUCCCGAGCGUUGUCCGGAUUUAUUGGGCGUAAAGCGAGCGCAGGCGGUUAGAUAAGUCUGAAGUUAAAGGCAGUGGCUCAACCAUUGUAGGCUUUGGAAACUGUUUAACUUGAGUGCAGAAGGGGAGAGUGGAAUUCCAUGUGUAGCGGUGAACUGCGUAGAUAUAUGGAGGAACACCGGUGGCGAAGGCGGCUCUCUGGUCUGUAACUGACGCGGAGGCUCGAAAGCGUGGGGAGCGAACAGG